rnacentral:rRNA from 1 species
AGAGUUUGAUCCUGGCUCAGAAUCAACGCUGGCGGCAUGCCUAACACAUGCAAGUCGAGCGAGAAAGUGUAGCAUACAUGAGUAAAGCGGCGCACGGGUGAGUAACACGUGGAUAACCUGCCUCAAAGUGGGGAAUAACACCGGGAAACCGGUGCUAAUACCGCAUAUUCUGACGAGAUCUGCGGAUUUCGGCAGGGAAGGAGCAAUUCGCUUUGAGAGGGGUCCGCGGCUGAUUAGCUAGUUGGUGAGGUAAUGGCUCACCAAGGCUUCGAUCAGUAGCCGGUCUGAGAGGACGGUCGGCCACACUGGAACUGAGACACGGUCCAGACUCCUACGGGAGGCAGCAGUGGGGAAUUUUUCGCAAUGGGGGCAACCCUGACGAAGCAAUGCCGCGUGGAUGAUGAAGUAUCUCGGUACGUAAAAUCCUUUCGACGGGGACGAAACCGCAAGGUUGACGGUACCCGUAGAAGAAGCCCCGGCUAACUCCGUGCCAGCAGCCGCGGUAAUACGGGGGGGGCAAGCGUUGUUCGGAAUUACUGGGCGUAAAGGGUGCGUAGGCGGCUUUCUAAGUCGGAUGUGAAAACUCUGGGCUCAACCCAGAGCCUGCAUCUGAAACUGGAGAGCUAGGGUUUUGGAGGGGAAAGCGGAAUUCCUGGUGUAGCGGUGAAAUGCGUAGAUAUCAGGAGGAACACCGGUGGCGAAGGCGGCUUUCUGGACAAAUACCGACGCUGAGGCACGAAAGCUAGGGGAGCAAACAGGAUUAGAUACCCUGGUAGUCCUAGCCCUAAACGAUGGAUACUUGCUGUGGGGGGGAUUGAAGCCCCUUGUGGCGAAGCUAACGCAUUAAGUAUCCCGCCUGGGGAGUACGGUCGCAAGGCUGAAACUCAAAUGAAUUGACGG